UUUUUUUUUUUUUAAACCCCCGGGCCGGAACGGGAAAAGCUCAAAUUUAAAAUCUGAUAGUCUUUGGCUGUCCGAGUUGUAGUCUGGAGAAGCGUCUUCCGCGUUGGACCGUGUACAAGUCUCCUGGAACGGAGCGUCAUAGAGGGUGAGAAUCCCGUCUUUGACACGGACUACCAGUGCUUUUGUGAUGCGCUCUCAAAGAGUCGAGUUGUUUGGGAAUGCAGCUCAAAAUGGGUGGUAAACUCCAUCUAAAGCUAAAUAUUGGCGAGAGACCGAUAGCGAACAAGUACCGUGAGGGAAAGAUGAAAAGCACUUUGGAAAGAGAGUUAAACAGUACGUGAAAUUGCUGAAAGGGAAACGCUUGAAGUCAGUCGCGUUUGCUAGGACUCAGCCUUGCUUCGGCUUGGUGCACUUCCUAGUAGACGGGCCAGCAUCACUUUUGGCUGCGGGAAAAAGAUCAGAGGAAUGUGGCACCUUCGGGUGUGUUAUAGCCUCUGGUUGUAUACCGUGGCUGGGAGUGAGGAUCUCAGCACGCCUUUAUGGCGGGGCUUCGGCCACCUUCGUGCUUAGGAUGCUGGCGUAAUGGCUUUAAACGACCCGUCUUGAACACAGCCCCCAGGGAGAAAAAUGGUCCGGA
rnacentral:rRNA from 1 species